rnacentral:rRNA from 1 species
UGGGGAAUUUUGGACAAUGGGGGAAACCCCGAUCCAGCCAUCCCGCGUGUGCGAUGAAGGCCUUCGGGUUGUAAAGCACUUUUGGCAGGAAAGAAACGUCAUGGGUUAAUACCCCGUGAAACUGACGGUACCUGCAGAAUAAGCACCGGCUAACUACGUGCCAGCAGCCGCGGUAAUACGUAGGGUGCAAGCGUUAAUCGGAAUUACUGGGCGUAAAGCGUGCGCAGGCGGUUCGGAAAGAAAGAUGUGAAAUCCCAGAGCUCAACUUUGGAACUGCAUUUUUAACUACCGGGCUAGAGUGUGUCAGAGGGAGGUGGAAUUCCGCGUGCAGCAGUGAAAUGCGUAGAUAUGCGGAGGAACACCGAUGGCGAAGGCAGCCUCCUGGGAUAACACUGACGCUCAUGCACGAAAGCGUGGGGAGCAAACAGG